rnacentral:lncRNA from 1 species
UAUUACCAUCAGAGCCCAAGAGGAGAAUUCUGACAUCUCAGCUAUGCUUGUUGGGAUGGAUGGUCCCCGACUCUCUAUUCACCCAAGUACCAAAACACUGCUGAUCCAUUUUUGUUUCAGAAACUAAUUUAUAUAAACUACUAUUUGGAUAUAUAGGAAGAAAAUUUGAAUAUUUUUUAAAUAUACCCAAGGCAAUCUAUAGAUUCAAUGCAAUCCCUAUCAAAUUA